rnacentral:lncRNA from 1 species
AGGCUUGAGGCAGGACGCUGUUCUUGUUGACUGAGGAGUAGAAGCCGGCGGGGGUUGCGUGCGGGGCGCUGGGGUGGUGGUGGCCGCCGUAGGAGCCUUCGUUUUUCAUGAGGAUCUCGGUGACGGUGGAAGGAGGCAGGCACUCCCGGUGCAUAAGCUCGUCGGCCGCCGCAUAGCAGGAGGAGUAGCUGUUCCGAUGGUGCCACUUGCCGGAUGGCUCCAGGCCAGACACCGCCUGUUCACAAGAGUUUGAAGAAGUCCACUCUUUUCCUGGCCAGAGCUGGGUGUCAAGACUACCUUUCUGGAGUCCUUAGAGAGACUCCCGGAAGAGUAUCUGAAGUUUCCCAAAGCCUCCAGGCCCUGCCUUCUGCCUGCACAUUCUGCCCUGAUUUCCGGAACCUGGAAGCCUAGGCAGGCAGUGGGGAACUCUGACUCGCCUGUGCUCUGGAGCUUGAUCCGAAAGCUUCCACAGUGAGGACUGCUCCGUGGGGUCCUGCUCCGCUUCGCAGUGGAAUGGAACGGAUUUAGAAGCCUGCAGUAGGGGAGUGGGGAGUGGAGAGAGGGAGCCCAGAGUUACAGACGGCGGCGAGAGGCCCCAAAGAGUCUGAUGUUUACAAGACCAGAAAUGCCACGGCCGCGUCCUGGCAGAGAAAAGGCUGAAAUGGAGGACCGGCGCCUUCCUUAUAAGCUCGUUGGGGCCUAAGCCAGUACCGACCUGGUAGAAAAAGCAACCACGAAGCUAGAGAGAGAGCCAGAGGAGGGAAGAGAGCGCCAGACGAAGGUGAAAGCGAACCACGCAGAGAAAUGCAGGCAAGGGAGCAAGGCGGCAGUUCCCGGAACAAACGUGGCAGAGGGCAAGACGGGCACUCACAGACAGAGGUUUAUGUAUUUUUAUUUUUUAAAAUCUGAUUUGGUGUUCCAUGAGGAAAAGGGAAAAUCUAGGGAACGGGAGUACAGAGAGAAUAAUCCGGGUCCUAGCUCGCCACAUGAACGCCCAGAGAACGCUGGAAAAACCUGAGCGGGUGCCGGGGCAGCACCCGGCUCGGGUCAGCCACUGCCCCACACCGGGCCCACCAAGCCCCGCCCCUCGCGGCCACCGGGGCUUCCUUGCUCUUCUUAUCAUCUCCAUCUUUAUGAUGAGGCUUGUUAACAAGACCAGAGAGCUGGCCAAGCACCUCUAUCUCAGCCGCGCCCGCUCAGCCGAGCAGCGGUCGGUGGGGGGACUGGGAGGCGCUAAUUAAUUGAUUCCUUUGGACUGUAAAAUAUGGCGGCGUCUACACGGAACCCAUGGACUCAUAAACAAUAUAUCUGUUGGG